AUUGAACGCUGGCGGCAGGCCUAACACAUGCAAGUCGAGCGAGCGGCGGACGGGUGAGUAAUGUAUGGGGACUGCCCGAUAGAGGGGGAUAACUACUGGAAACGGUGGCUAAUAACGCAUACUAUCGGAUAACCCAUAUGGGAUUAGCUAGUAGGUGGGGUAAAAGCUCACCUAGGCGAUGAUCUCUAGCUGGUCUGAGAGGAUGAUCAGACACACGGGGACUGAUGCACGGCCCAGACUCCUACGGAGGCAGCAGUGGGGAAUAUUGCACAAGGGGCGGAAGCCUGAUGCAGCCAGGCCGCGUGUAAGAAGAAGGCCUUAGGGUUGUAAAGUACUUUAAGCGGGGAGACGUUACCCGCAGAAGAAGCACCGGCUAACUCCGUGCCAGCAGCCGCGGUAAUUC
rnacentral:rRNA from 1 species